rnacentral:rRNA from 1 species
GGGGGGAUAACGUAGCGAAAGCUACGCUAAUACCGCAUACGAUCUAUGGAUGAAAGCGGGGGAUCGCAAGACCUCGCGCGAUUGGAGCGGCCGAUAUCAGAUUAGGUAGUUGGGUGAGGGUAAAGGCUCACCAAGCCCGACGAUCUGUAGCUGGUCUGAGAGGACGACCAGCACACUGGGACUGAGACACGGCCCAGACUCCUACGGGAGGCAGCAGUGGGGAAUUUUGGACAAUGGGCGCAAGCCUGAUCCAGCAAUGCCGCGUGCAGGAUGAAGGCCUUCGGGUUGUAAACUGCUUUGUACGGAACGAAACGGUGAGCUCUAAUACAGUUUGCUAAUGACGGUACCGUAAGAAUAAGCACCGGCUAACUACGUG